rnacentral:rRNA from 1 species
GACGAACGCUGGCGGCGUGCUUAACACAUGCAAGUCGAACGGAAAGGCCCUGCUCUUGUGGGGUGCUCGAGUGGCGAACGGGUGAGUAACACGUGAGUAACCUGCCCUUGACUUUGGGAUAACUUCAGGAAACUGGGGCUAAUACCGGAUAGGAGCUCCUGCUGCAUGGUGGGGGUUGGAAAGUUUCGGCGGUUGGGGAUGGACUCGCGGCUUAUCAGCUUGUUGGUGGGGUAGUGGCUUACCAAGGCUUUGACGGGUAGCCGGCCUGAGAGGGUGACCGGCCACCAUGGGACUGAGAUACGGACCAGACUCCUACGGGAGGCAGCAGUGGGGAAUAUUGCACAAUGGGCGGAAGCCUGAUGCAGAAACGCCGCGUGCGGGAUGACGGCCUUCGGGUUGUAAACCGCUUUCGCCUGUGACGAAGCGUGAGUGACGGUAAUGGGUAAAGAAGCACCGGCUAACUACGUG